rnacentral:rRNA from 1 species
CCUAUCCCCUCGUGUGCCUUGCCUCCACGACUCGGCCGCGUCGACACGCCCAAUAAAUCCGAGCAACGCCGCGUGAGUGAAGAAGGUUUUCGGAUCGUAAAGCUCUGUUGUAAGUCAAGAACGAGUGUGAGAGUGGAAAGUUCACACUGUGACGGUAGCUUACCAGAAGGACGGCUAACUACGUGCCAGCAGCCGCGGUAAUACGUAGGUCCGAGCGUUGUCGAUUUAUUGGGCGUAAAGCGAGCGCAGGCGGUUUGAUAAGUCUGAAGUUAAAGGCUGUGGCUCAACCAUAGUUCGCUUUGGAAACUGUCAAACUUGAGUGCAGAAGGGGAGAGUGGAAUUCCAUGUGUAGCGGUGAAAUGCGUAGAUAUAUGGAGGAACACCGGUGGCGAAAGCGGCUCUCUGGUCUGUAACUGACGCUGAGGCUCGAAAGCGUGGGGAGCGAACAGGAUUAGAUACCCUGGUAGUCCACGCCGUAAACGAUGAGUGCUAGG